CCUACGGGAGGCAGCAGUAACGAAUCUUCCGCAAUGCGCGAAAGCGUGACGGGGCAAUGCCGCGUGCAGGAUGAAGCCCCUCGGGGUGUAAACUGCUGUCAGGGUGCAGGAAAGAAAUGACCAUACCCAAAGGAAGCACCGGCUAACUCUGUGCCAGCAGCCGCGGUAAUACAGAGGGUGCGAGCGUUAAUCGGAAUCACUGGGCUUAAAGGGUGCGUAGGCGGAUGCAUAGGCGCUUUGUGAAAUCCCACGGCUCAACCGUGGAAUUGCUUGGCGAACCAUGCAUCUUGAGGUUGGUAGAGGUCACUGGAACGAUAGGUGGAGCGGUGAAAUGCGUAGAUAUCUAUCGGAACGCCAAAAGGUGAAGACAGGUGACUGGGCCAAAAUCUGACGCUGAGGCACGAAAAGCGUGGGGAGCAAAACGGGAUUAGAUACCCCGGUAGUCCACGCUGUAAACGAUGCAUACUUGGUCGGAGCGGUUUGACUCCGUUCCGGCCGUAGGAAAACUGAUGAGUAUGCCGCCUGGGGAGUACGGUCGCAAGAUUAAAACUACAAAGAAGUAGUAGACGNGNGAGAGCGACGACGACGACGACGAGGAGGAGG
rnacentral:rRNA from 1 species